rnacentral:rRNA from 1 species
UACGGGGGGAGCAAGCGUUGUUCGGAUUUACUGGGCGUAAAGGGCGGGUAGGCGGCCACUGCAAGUCGGUUGCGAAAUCUCCGGGCUUAACCCGGAAAGGUCAAUCGAUACUGCAGGGCUAGAGUGCAGAAGGGGCAACUGGAAUUCUCGGUGUAGCGGUGAAAUGCGUAGAUAUCGAGAGGAACACCUGCGGCGAAGGCGGGUUGCUGGGCUGACACUGACGCUGAACUGCGAAAGCUAGGGGAGCGAACGGG